rnacentral:rRNA from 1 species
UACGGAGGGGGCUAGCGUUGUUCGGAAUUACUGGGCGUAAAGCGCACGUAGGCGGCUUUGUAAGUUAGAGGUGAAAGCCCGGGGCUCAACCCCGGAACUGCCCUUGAAACUGCUAAGCUAGAAUCUUGGAGAGGCGAGUGGAAUUCCGAGUGUAGAGGUGAAAUUCGUAGAUAUUCGGAAGAACACCAGUGGCGAAGGCGACUCGCUGGACAAGUAUUGACGCUGAGGUGCGAAAGCGUGGGGAGCAAACAGG